rnacentral:rRNA from 1 species
UGAGGAAUAUUGAGCAAUGGGCGCAAGCCUGACUCAGCAACGCCGCGUGGAUGAAGAAGGCCUUCGGGUUGUAAAAUCCUUUUCUGCGGGACGAUGAUGACGGUACCGCAGGAAUAAGUUCCGGCUAACUACGUGCCAGCAGCCGCGGUAAAACGUAGGGGACAAGCGUUAUCCGGAUUUACUGGGCGUAAAGCGCCCGUAGGCGGCCUGAUAAGUUGGAUGUGAAAGCUCCGGCUUAACUGGGAGAGGUCAUUCAAAACUGUCAGGCUAGAGGCUGGAAGAGGAGUGUGGAAUUCCCGGUGUAGUGGUGGAAUGCGUAGAGAUCGGGAGGAACACCAGUGGCGAAAGCGGCACUCUGGUUCAGGCCUGACGCUGAGGGGCGAAAGCGUGGGGAGCGAACGGGAUUAGAUACCCCGGUAGUCCACGCUGUAAACGAUGGAUACUAGGUGUAGGCGGUCAUUAACCCCAUCUGUGCCGCAGCCAACGCGUUAAGUAUCCCGCCUGGGG